AGAGUUUGAUCAUGGCUCAGGAUGAACGCUAGCGGCAGGCCUAAUACAUGCAAGUCGAGGGGCAGCACAGGUAGCAAUACCGGGUGGCGACCGGCAAACGGGUGCGGAACACGUACGCAACCUUCCUUCGAGUGGGGAAUAGCCCAGAGAAAUUUGGAUUAAUACCCCGUAAGAUCGUGGACUGGCAUCAGUCAGCGAUAAAAGCUCCGGCACUUGAAGAUGGGCGUGCGCCUGAUUAGGUAGUUGGUGAGGUAACGGCUCACCAAGCCGACGAUCAGUAACUGGCGUGAGAGCGCGACCAGUCACACGGGCACUGAGACACGGGCCCGACUCCUACGGGAGGCAGCAGUAAGGAAUAUUGGUCAAUGGACGCAAGUCUGAACCAGCCAUGCCGCGUGGAGGAUGAAGGUCCUCUGGAUUGUAAACUUCUUUUAUCUGGGAAGAAAUGUGGAUUUUCUAAUCUAUUUGACGGUACCAGAUGAAUAAGCACCGGCUAACUCCGUGCCAGCCGCCGCGGUAAUAC
rnacentral:rRNA from 1 species